rnacentral:rRNA from 1 species
UACAGAGGGUGCGAGCGUUAAUCGGAAUUACUGGGCGUAAAGCGCACGUAGGCGGCUUGGUAUGUCGGGUGUGAAAUCCCCGGGCUCAACCUGGGAACUGCAUCCGAAACUGCCUUGCUCGAGUAUGGGAGAGGGAAGUGGAAUUUCCGGUGUAGCGGUGAAAUGCGUAGAUAUCGGAAGGAACAUCAGUGGCGAAGGCGGCUCUCUGGGACGGUACUGACGGCUGAGACGCGAAAAGCGUGGGGAGCGAAC